rnacentral:tRNA from 1 species
ACCCGGCUGGCGCAAUGGUAGCGCGUCAGACUUCUAAUUUCCUCGGAGAACUCGAUAUCUGAAGGUUGUGGGUUCGACCCCCACGUUGGGUU